rnacentral:lncRNA from 1 species
CAAGCCUGGCCUUGGCUGGCCUGGAGGGCGGAGGCAGAGGCUUCCAGCUAAGGAACGCAGAUGGCUUCUAGACCCAGAGGGCAGGGACCUCGGGCAGGGGCACAGCCCCACGACAUCUUGGUUCCAGCUCAUCUCGGGGCUGUCAGGGGUGACUCUGGGUGUGACCACAGACAAGGCACUUAGCCCUUCAGGCCACUUUUUGCUGGUUUUCAAAAUAACUAACGUGGAACCCCCUGUCUCUGAUGUCUCUUUCCGUGGAUCUUUUUUUGGGGCUAAGAUCGUGUCAUCGGCUGCCAAAGACAGUACCUCGAGCUGCAGAUGGAGUGAGGGCUGCCUGCGUGGCCAGGCUUUGUGUCCUGGGGGGGCCUUGGGGACGUCAACCCCUCCUGAGCCAGCCCUCACAGAUUUGGGGGCUGGCUCUGGACGAGUAACGGCAGAGAGCAGGGUGUCACUUAUCGCCAUCAGCUGCACCAGGAAGCUAUCUUCACGAACAAAAACAAAACAGGAAUCACACUGGUUUCCUGUGGCUGCUGCAGUGAGCAACCAUCAGUUCAGUGGCUUAAUCACCGUGGAUUCAUUGCCUGGUCGUUCUGGAGGUCAGCAGUGUGACCAGGCCUCCCUGGGUUAGGGUCAAGCUGUCCGCCCCUUCUCGAGGCUCAGGACACAGCAUCUUCAUGCUCCCUGGGGGUCUGCAGGGCUCAGAGCGUGGCUCCAGAUCAGACGCAGCCCGGGGACGGCAGGAGUGCUCUGCCUGCCCCACGAGCCUGCUCGAGGGUGGACGGUGGGCAGCGCUGGGAAGCCGCUGUCAGAGACAGAUGGUCUUCAGGAACCUGCUUCAAACCGCGACCCCCUGAGCUUGGUUUCAGCCGCCAGUGAACCCAGAGGGGGCAGGGCCUGGUCUGGGUCGCAAGAACCUCUGGAAGUGACCCUGCACAGCGCCAUCUCCCGCUGGCCCCAGAGGCCUGCCGUGCUGGGGCUCCUCCUGCCCAGCCUGGGUCCCUCGGUGGCUCACCAAGGCCAGCUUGGGCCUCCUGGCGCACACCUCCUGGCUACGUGGGCCCCCAAUACUCAGAGUCUGGGCCAAGGCAGUUUCCCAGCCCCCUGAGGUUUGAG